CCUACGGGUGGCAGCAGUGAGGAAUAUUGGUCAAUGGGCGAGAGCCUGAACCAGCCAAGUCGCGUGAGGGAGUACUGCCCUAUGGGUUGUAAACCUCUUUUGUCGGGGAGCAAAAGCCGGACGUGUUCGGCUGUUUGAGUUCCCGUAGCAAAAGCAUCAGCUAACUCCGUACCAGCAGCCGCGGUAAUACGGAGGAUGCGUGCUUUAUCCGGAUUUAUUGGGUUUUAGGGGUGCGCAGGCGGAUUUUUAAGUUAGCGGUAAAGUCGUGGGGCUAAACCUCAUCCAGCCGUUGAAACUGGGGGUCUAGAGUGUGCUAGAGGUAGGCGGAAUGCGUGGUGUAGCGGUGAAAUGCAUAGAUAUCACGCAGAACCCCGAUUGCGAAGGCAGCAUACCGGUGCACAACUGACGCUCAGGCACGAAAGCGUGGGUAUCGAACAGGAUUAGAUACCCGGGUAGUC
rnacentral:rRNA from 1 species